rnacentral:rRNA from 1 species
AGUCGAGGGGCAGCACAGGUAGCAAUACCGGGUGGCGACCGGCGCACGGGUGAGUAACGCGUAUGCAACUUACCUAUCAGAGGGGGAUAACCCGGCGAAAGUCGGACUAAUACCGCAUGAAGCAGGGGCCCCGCAUGGGGAUAUUUGCUAAAGAUUCAUCGCUGAUAGAUAGGCAUGCGUUCCAUUAGGCAGUUGGCGGGGUAACGGCCCACCAAACCGACGAUGGAUAGGGGUUCUGAGAGGAAGGUCCCCCACAUUGGUACUGAGACACGGACCAAACUCCUACGGGAGGCAGCAGUGAGGAAUAUUGGUCAAUGGCCGAGAGGCUGAACCAGCCAAGUCGCGUGAGGGAUGAAGGUUCUAUGGAUCGUAAACCUCUUUUAUAAGGGAAUAAAGUGCGGGACGUGUCCCGUUUUGUAUGUACCUUAUGAAUAAGGAUCGGCUAACUCCGUGCCAGCAGCCGCGGUAAUACGGAGGAUUCGAGCGUUAUCCGGAUUUAUUGGGUUUAAAGGGUGCGUAGGCGGCCUUUUAAGUCAGCGGUGAAAGUCUGUGGCUCAACCAUAGAAUUGCCGUUGAAACUGGGGGGCUUGAGUAUGUUUGAGGCAGGCGGAAUGCGUGGUGUAGCGGUGAAAUGCAUAGAUAUCACGCAGAACCCCGAUUGCGAAGGCAGCCUGCCAAGCCAUUACUGACGCUGAUGCACGAAAG